rnacentral:lncRNA from 10 species
GGAUAAGAGAACCCCAUAAGGUACAGUUAGGGAAAGAUAUCUUGUGAUAAAUAAGAUUUGCCAUGUGGAAAACUGACCCACCAUCAGUGAUAACUGCUAUGGCAUUUUGGUAAGAUGCUGAUGCUAAUUUUGGUAACAGGAGUGUCAUCUUUGAGGAAUAUGAUUAUGUGUGAUUAUAUUAGCAGAGCAAAGCUGAAGUCUAGUCACAUUGUACUCUCAUAUUGUAGCCUGAAGCAAGAAUAUGAUGACAGCAGGGGAGUGAUGAACUUGGAGGCAGAGGUUGCAGUGAGCUGAAAUCGCGCCAUUGCACUCCAGCCUGGAAAACAAGUGUGAAAUUCCGUCUCAAAAAAAAA